GAUGAACGCUAGCGGCAGGCUUAAUACAUGCAAGUCGAGGGGCAGCAUGAUUGUAGCAAUACAAUUGAUGGCGACCGGCAAACGGGUGCGGAACACGUACACAACCUCCCAAUAAGUGGGGAAUAGCCCAGAGAAAUUUGGAUUAAUACCCCGUAACAUGACGAUGUGGCAUCACAUUGUUAUUAUAGAUUUUUCGCUUAUUGAUGGGUGUGCGGCUGAUUAGAUAGUUGGCGGGGUAACGGCCAACCAAGUCUACGAUCAGUAGCUGAUGUGAGAGCAUGAUCAGCCACACGGGCACGGAGACACGGGCCCGACUACUACGGGAGGCAGCAGUAAGGAAUAUUGGACAAUGGGGGAAACCCUGAUCCAGCAAUGCGGCGUGUGUGAAGAAGGCCUGAGGGUUGUAAAGCACUUUCAGUGGGGAGGAGGAUUAUUAGGUUAAGAGCUGAAUAAUUGGACGUUACCCACAGAAGAAGCACCGGCUAACUCCGUGCCAGCCGCCGCCGUAAUAC
rnacentral:rRNA from 1 species